AGUGGCGGACGGGUGAGUAACACGUAAGAAUUUGCCUUUAGGAGGGGGACAACAACUGGAAACGGUUGCUAAUACCCCAUAUGCUUUCGAGUGAAACGGAUUUUUCCGCCUAAAGAGAAGCUUGCGGCUGAUUAGCUUGUUGGUGAGGUAAUGGCUCACCAAGGCGACGAUCAGUAUCUGGUUUGAGAGGACGAUCAGACACACUGGAACUGAGACACGGUCCAGACUCCUACGGGAGGCAGCAGUGGGGAAUUUUCCGCAAUGGGCGAAAGCCUGACGGAGCAAUACCGCGUGAGGGAUGACGGCCUAUGGGUUGUAAACCUCUUUUUUCAGGGAGGAAUCAAAUGACGUGUACCUGAAGAAUAAGCAUCGGCUAACUCCGUGCCAGCAGCCGCGGUAAGACGGGGGAUGCAAGUGUUAUCCGGAAUCACUGGGCGUAAAGCGUCUGUAGGUGGUCAAAUAAGUCAACUGUUAAAUCUUGAGGCUCAACCUCAAAAUCGCAGUCGAAACUAUUAGACUAGAGUAUAGUAGGGGUAAAGGGAAUUUCCAGUGGAGCGGUGAAAUGCGUAGAGAUUGGAAAGAACACCGAUGGCGAAGGCACUUUACUGGGCUAUUACUAACACUCAGAGACGAAAGCUAGGGUAGCAAAUGGGAUUAGAUACCCCAGUAGUCCUAGCCGUAAACAAUGGGUACUAGACGU
rnacentral:rRNA from 1 species